GCAGACGGGGGUGUGAAGUGUCCCCUCUGAGGCUGGUUCUGGUCUGAGAGAGCGGGACCCCUUGAGCCAUGGGAAGAGUGGUGUUGCUGUUCAGAGGGGUGGGCAAUUGAACUUCUCUGCUUGAAGAAGAUAAGUUGAUCCAGCUGGGAAAACUCCUGUCAGUGGGUGCAGCGUCCUUUCCAGAUUCAAUAUUAUGCAAACUGCAUCUCGGCGAAUGGAGUAAACAAAUAUGUCCAUGGAGCUGCCUGAUGCAGAGAUGGAGCUGCCCCAGGACCGACGCAGCUGUCCCAGCGCAUGGGAGCCGCUGAAGCUGCCACCCGGCCAGCCCUGCCACCAUCUCUUUCCUUCCGAGCAUGAGUUGACAGGAGGGACUUACAAAGAGCAGCCCACUCAGAGACCCAGGUGCCAGCUCUGAAAGAACUGCAGAUGAACCCAGAAGACAACCAUGGCCAUGCAGACCUUAGACUAGGUUAGAGAAGAGAAAGAAGGCUUAAGACAAACACUUCAGCAUGAGCAAGAAGAGAGCAAAAGUGGCUGAGAUGAUAGGCAGAAGACAGAAAGCUUUAAAAGACAUGCAAGAACU